rnacentral:rRNA from 1 species
UUUAUAUUGCGAUGGGGUGACGAGGUAGUGAAAGUACCGCGGGGUUACGGAAUAUCCCGUUAAAGCGUGUAGAUGUUGAUGGAGUAGGCAAAUCCGCUCUUGAAUCGAACGUGAUAGUACUCAAGGUUUUCGAACUGAGAGAUAGUGUACCUAAUCAGACUUCCUAGAAAAACCUCUAAGCUUCAGGUAUAAGCAGCCCGUACCGUAAACCGACACAGGUAGACGAGGAGAGUAUCCUCAGGCGCUCGAGUGAGUCACGGCUAAGGAACUCGGCAAAAUGGACCCGUAACUUCGGGAGAAGGGUCGCCUCAGCAAUGAGGCCGCAGUGAAAAGUAUCAGGCGACUGUUUAACAAAAACACAGGGCUCUGCAAAAUCGAAAGAUGAAGUAUAGGGCCUGACACCUGCCCGGUGCUGGAAGGUUAAGGAAGGUUGUUAGCCGCAAGGCAAAGCUUCCGACUGAAGCCCCAGUAAACGGCGGCCGUAACAAUAACGGUCCUAAGGUAGCGAAAUUCCUUGCCGGGUAAGUUCCGACCUGCACGAAUGGUGUAACGAUCUGAUAACUGUCUCAGCCGUGAGCUCGGUGAAAUUGUAGUCCCGGUGAAGAUGCCGGGUACCCGUAACGGGACGGAAAGACCCCGUGAACCUUCACUACAACUUUGCAUUGACUUUGAGUAAACGAUGUGUAGCAUAGGUGGGAGACUUUGAAGCGGGCACGCUAGUGUUCGUGGAGUCAACGUUGAAAUACCACCCUUUGUUUACUUAGAGCCUAAUCCGCUAAGCGGAGAAAGUGCAUGGUGGGUAGUUUGACUGGGGUGGUUGCCUCCAAAAGAGUAACGGAGGCUUCCAAAGGUACCCUCAGCACGCUUGGUAACCGUGCGCAGAGUGUAUUAGCAUAAGGGUGCUUGACUGUGAGACCGACGGGUCGAGCAGGUACGAAAGUAGGGUAAAGUGAUCCGGUGGUUCUGCAUGGAAGGGCCAUCGCUCAAAGGAUAAAAGGUACUCCGGGGAUAACAGGCUGAUCUCCCCCAAGAGCUCAUAUCGACGGGGAGGUUUGGCACCUCGAUGUCGGCUCGUCACAUCCUGGGGCUGGAGAAGGUCCCAAGGGUUGAGCUGUUCGCUCAUUAAAGUGGCACGCGAGCUGGGUUCAGAACGUCGCAAGACAGUUCGGUCCCUAUCUGUUAUGGGCGUUUGAGAUUUGAGAAGAUCUGUUUCUAGUACGAGAGGACCGGAAUGGACUGACCUCUAGUGUACCGGUUAUGUCGCCAGAUGUACCGCCGGGUAGCUACGUUGGGAAGGGAUAAGCGCUGAAAGCAUCUAAGCACGAAACCCACUUCAAGAUGAGAUCUCAUAGGGUCGUCGAAGACUACGACGUUGAUAGGUCAUAGGUGUAAAGGUG